UCAAUUUUCAUCAACCUGUUGUGAACACUACUUUUAAAUAAGUAAGUAGUAAUUUGGGGUUGGAGAACUUGCUUAACUUGAUAUAUCCCAGUUAAGUCAAAUUAGAAAAAAUAAUUUCUUGUACCCAGUGUCCUUUGGGCGUUCUAUCAGACAUGCGCAGAUCUGCCCUGCCCACUUUCGCGCUCUUUCCAACACCUUUCUCAGUUAUUUUCGCCAUUGUGGGUUUACUUGUCCUCAGUACACUGAUUUGGCACUGCUGCAAUCGUCACACUUUUUCUGUUACAAACUGACCCGGCCCCUCAUCAGAGAAGGGAAAAGUCAUGUGGCCUUCACAGGAAAAGGUUUGGGGACCCCUGCUUUAGAGUGUUUGUCAUCUGCCCUUCCAUUUGCUUUUCUUCAUGUGCAGUGCUCCCCCUCCAUGUUUGAUCAAACUGCACUGAUAAUUUGAAAUUGUUUUAAAAUGCAUUAAUCGCAAAAAUCAGAGGACUAGAUCACAUUUCCCCCUGUUAUUUCACCACUUUAACUUUGGUCUAACCUAAUAUAGGAAUACAGAUAGAAAGAGUGCAGAGAUCACACUCGACGCCAUAACAACCUGGUGUGUUUAAGGUUGGUCAUUUAUGUGCCUAUAUUUUGAAAUUGUUGCCUUAAUUUUGUGUUCUUUUUCACCAUCCCCCAAUCAGGCUGAAGCAAAUGGUCAAAAGUCCACACAUACCUCAGUCUCAGCAAUUACAGGUCAACCAAAGCAGUAUUCUCUAAUGCAGUGGACUUGCAAGUACUGCACAUUUUCUGCUGAAAAGAGCCUACUUGCUUAAGCAUUACCGCUUAAAACAUGGAUACCACACUCGGACAUCCCUACUCCCAUGUCUUCAUAAGGACUGCCUCUGCACAUUUAAAUCUUUUAAUGCACUCAAAGUACACCUAUCGACAUGGCACUCUCAAAAAGAUGCAGGCAAAAGUGGAGAAACUGCAUUUGACCGUCAGUUGUGCAACUUUGUGGAGCCCUGCUCAGAAGCAGACUUCUUUACCCAUUUGCGAGGACAUCUUAAGCUGAGGCAAAUGGUUACUUGCCCAUAUCAAGACUAACUUUCAGAGCAGUAUUUAUUCGACCUUCACUGCACACAAAAGCAAAGAAAUGUGAAAUGUGUUUGAGCCAUAGUGUGGGUAGGACAUUUGUGUCUAAAUCAUUCAAUCCCAAUAAAAGUUGCUUUAAUAAAAAAAAACUUAUUUUUAAUCAAAGAAAAAGAACCUUUUGCAAAAAUAUAUUUUUUUGAAAAUAUAUAUAUUUUUAAAUAUAUAUUUUUUUUAUUGACGUGUCACUUUUUUUUUUAAAGGAAAAAGUUUAA